GGCUUCGAAUGAGAAAGUCAUGAAUACGAAGAUUGAAUAACUCAUCAAGAUGUACAAAAGUUGUUUUGGUCUUUUCUUCAUUCCAAAAAUUGAUACAAACAUUAUUCACAAAUGUGAUACAUCCUUCUUAGUGAAGUAUAAGACGGAUGUGUCACAUUUGAGAAGCAUGUUAUUAUCAAUUUCUCGGAUGAAGAAAUGACCAAAACACCUUUUGUACAUCUUGAUGAGUUAUUCAAUCUUGGUAUUCAUGACUUUCUUAUUUGAAGCC
rnacentral:pre_miRNA from 1 species